rnacentral:rRNA from 1 species
GACGUACGCUGGCGGCGUGCUUAACACAUGCAAGUCGAGCGGAAAGGCCCUUCGGGGUACUCGAGCGGCGAACGGGUGAGUAACACGUGAGUAACCUGCCCCAGACUUUGGGAUAACCCUCGGAAACGGGGGCUAAUACCGGAUACGACACAGCUUCGCAUGGGGUCUGUGUGGAAAGUUUUUCGGUUUGGGAUGGGCUCGCGGCCUAUCAGCUUGUUGGUGGGGUGAUGGCCUACCAAGGCGACGACGGGUAGCCGGCCUGAGAGGGCGACCGGCCACACUGGGACUGAGACACGGCCCAGACUCCUACGGGAGGCAGCAGUGGGGAAUAUUGCACAAUGGGCGGAAGCCUGAUGCAGCGACGCCGCGUGAGGGAUGACGGCCUUCGGGUUGUAAACCUCUUUCAGCAGGGACGAAGCGUAAGUGACGGUACCUGCAGAAGAAGCGCCGGCCAACUACGUG